UCUUUUUGUUUAAAAUAUAAAGUCUAGUCUGCCCAAUGAUAAAUUAAAUGGCCGCGGUAUUUUGACCGUGCUAAGGUAGCAUAAUCAUUAGUUUUUUUAUUGAAAGCUGGAAUGAAGGGCUGGAUGAAAAAAUAGCUGUCUCUAUUAAAUUUUUAUAGAAUUUUAUUUUUAAGUUAAAAAGCUUAAAUUUUUUUAAAAGACGAGAAGACCCUAUAGAGUUUAAUAGUUAUUUUAAAAUAUUUUUUUAGUAUUAAAUUUAUAUAUUAUUUUAAUUAUUUGAUUGGGGUGAUUGAAAAAUUUGUUAAACUUUUUUUGUAUUUUUAUAUUUAUUUAUAAAUUUUUGAUCCAAUAAUUUUGAUUAAAAGAAAAAAUUACCUUAGGGAUAACAGCGUAAUUUUAUUAGAGAGUUCAAAUCGAAAAUAAAGUUUGCGACCUCGAUGUUGGAUUAAAA
rnacentral:rRNA from 1 species